rnacentral:rRNA from 1 species
GAUGAACGCUGGCGGCGUGCCUAAUACAUGCAAGUCGAGCGAACAGACGAGGAGCUUGCUCCUCUGACGUUAGCGGCGGACGGGUGAGUAACACGUGGAUAACCUACCUAUAAGACUGGGAUAACUUCGGGAAACCGGAGCUAAUACCGGAUAAUAUAUUGAACCGCAUGGUUCAAUAGUGAAAGACGGUUUUGCUGUCACUUAUAGAUGGAUCCGCGCCGCAUUAGCUAGUUGGUAAGGUAACGGCUUACCAAGGCGACGAUGCGUAGCCGACCUGAGAGGGUGAUCGGCCACCCUGGAACUGAGACACGGUCCAGACUCCUACGGGAGGCAGCAGUAGGGAAUCUUCCGCAAUGGGCGAAAGCCUGACGGAGCAACGCCGCGUGAGUGAUGAAGGUCUUCGGAUCGUAAAACUCUGUUAUUAGCGAAGAACAAAUGUGUAAGUAACUAUGCACGUCUUGACGGUACCUAAUCAGAAAGCCACGGCUAACUCCGUG